GCCAAGUAGUCCGACAACGAGGUCCAGUUCAAUCCAGUCCGGAGGCUAUUAGUCCGGAGACUCCUUGUCCAGUCCGGCAAACAAACGAGGCCUUUGAUGCUUGGAUUUCAAAUUACCGAUUGGGUAAAAUUAGUUGUUUUAUUUCGGUUUAAAGUUUGAUUUUACAGAGAAUGGUGUUCAAGAGUUUGUUUGGUUCAUUUUACUUAUUAACCAAUUAAUUAAGAUUGCAUUGGUGCGUCUUUAGGUUUUGCCUCUUUGGUUGAGUUGAUUUGUCUCGAAGCUUUGAUAGGUUCGUUUGAUUGUCGCUUGAUCAAUCGAUUAUGAUACUAGGUUAAGU
rnacentral:lncRNA from 1 species